rnacentral:rRNA from 1 species
AGAGUUUGAUCCUGGCUCAGAGCGAACGCUGGCGGCGUGCUUAACACAUGCAAGUCGAACGCGCAGUUCCCUGUAGCAAUACAGGGGAUGGGCGCGUGGCGAACGGGUGCGUAACACGUGGAUAACCUUCCUUCAGGUGGGGAAUAACCCCGCGAAAGCGGGGCUAAUACCGCAUAACAUGACGAUGGCACAUGCCGUUGUCCUCAAAGCCGCAAGGCGCCAGAAGAGGGAUCCGCGGCCGAUUAGCUUGUUGGCGAGGUAAUGGCUCACCAAGGCAAUGAUCGGUAGCCGGUCUGAGAGGACGAUCGGCCACACUGGAACUGAGACACGGUCCAGACUCCUACGGGAGGCAGCAGUGGGGAAUCUUGCGCAAUGGACGAAAGUCUGACGCAGCAACGCCGCGUGGGGGAUGAAGCUUCUCGGAGUGUAAACCCCUUUCGACCCGGACGAAUGCCCGCAAGGGUUUGACGGUACGGGUAUAAGAAGCCCCGGCUAACUACGUGCCAGCAGCCGCGGUAAAACGUAGGGGGCCAGCGUUGCUCGGAAUUACUGGGCGUAAAGGGUCCGUAGGCGGUGUGGCAAGUCGGAAGUGAAAUCUCUGGGCUUAACUCAGAGGCUGCUUCCGAAACUGCUGUGCUAGAGUGCGAGAGAGGCGAGUGGAAUUGCGGGUGUAGCGGUGAAAUGCGUAGAUAUCCGCAGGAACAUCCGAGGCGAAAGCGGCUCGCUGGAUCGCAACUGACGCUGAGGGACGAAAGCUAGGGGAGCAAACAGGAUUAGAUACCCCCGUAGUCC